rnacentral:lncRNA from 1 species
UUGCCAGGUACCAGUGAAGAGACUCCCAGACUACGGAAAGCUCUAUGGCAAAGAGAGAUACUCGCAGCAGCCCUGAAACCUGUCAAAUGGGAGGAUGUAGUCAUAGAAUGACUGGGGAAAGGAAGCAAGAGUUCAAAGAGCCAGGAUGUACACCACUACUGACAUCAAGUUCCAUGGAUAGGAAAUUACAAUCAAAUUUACAAAGGCAGGAGUUAAAUAUGGCCAUUGGAGGGAAGAAGGGAAGGGAGACAGGCAAGAAAGCAGAUGUGAUUAUAAAGAAUUCUCUGCCGCAGGAAGAUUCUCAAGGAUCUUGAUCAAAAUGUGUCAGUCACCACAGAUGAAGAAGAGGCAUAUACCAGAAGGAUCUGUGUCUGCUCGGCUAAGUCCAGACAGCAGAAUCUCAAGGGGUGCGCCAAGGACAGCAAAAGUUUGAUGUAUUUCGAGCAAGGAGAUGGCAAGAAGCAUGGAGGAGUGGGCUGAUUCAUUAAUUGCAGCAAGUGGCAUAAUGUUGAACUCCUGAGAGCGUGAUGGAGAUAAAGCAGAAAUGCUCAGUUCA